CCUACGGGAGGCAGCAGUGGGGGAUAUUGCACAAUGGGGGGAACCCUGAUGCAGCGACGCCGCGUGGGUGAAGGAGCGUUUCGGCGCGUAAAGCCCUAUCGGCAGGGAAGAAGAUGACGGUACCUGGCCAAGCAGCCCCGGCUAAAUACGUGCCAGCAGCCGCGGUAAUACGUAGGGGGCACGCGUGAUCCGGAUUUACUGGGUGUAAGGGGGGCGCAGACGGCAAUGCAAGCCAGUAGUGAAAGCCCGGGGCGCAACCCCGGGACUGCUCUUGGAACUGCAUGGCUGGAGUACAGGAGGGGCAGGCGGAAUUCCUAGUGUAGCGGUGAAAUGCGUAGAUAUUAGGAGGAACACCGGUGGCGAAGGCGGCCGGCUGGACUGUGACUGACGUUGAGGCCCGAAGGCGUGGGGAGCAAACAGGAUUAGAUACCCUUGUAGUC
rnacentral:rRNA from 1 species